rnacentral:tRNA from 1 species
GGCACUGUAGCUCAGUUGGUAGAGCACAUGCUUAACAUCGGCGCGCCGGUGCUCGCAUGUUGUCGUCGGUUCGAGCCCGGCCAGAGUCA